rnacentral:rRNA from 1 species
GUGACUGCGUACCUUUUGUAUAAUGGGUCAGCGACUUAUAUUCUGUAGCAAGGUUAACCGAAUAGGGGAGCCGGAGGGAAACCGAGUCUUAAUUGGGCGUUAAGUUGCAGGGUAUAGACCCGAAACCCGGUGAUCUAGCCAUGGGCAGGUUGAAGGUUGGGUAACACUAACUGGAGGACCGAACCGACUAAUGUUGAAAAAUUAGCGGAUGACCUGUGGCUGGGGGUGAAAGGCCAAUCAAACCGGGAGAUAGCUGGUUCUCCCCGAAAGCUAUUUAGGUAGCGCCUCGUGAAUUCAUCUCCGGGGGUAGAGCACUGUUUCGGCUAGGGGGCCAUCCCGGCUUACCAACCCGAUGCAAACUGCGAAUACCGGAGAAUGUUAUCACGGGAGACACACGGCGGGUGCUAACGUCCGUCGUGAAGAGGGAAACAACCCAGACCGCCAGCUAAGGUCCCAAAGUCAUGGUUAAGUGGGAAACGAUGUGGGAAGGCCCAGACAGCCAGGAUGUUGGCUUAGAAGCAGCCAUCAUUUAAAGAAAGCGUAAUAGCUCACUGGUCGAGUCGGCCUGCGCGGAAGAUGUAACGGGGCUAAACCAUGCACCGAAGCUGCGGCAGCGACGCUUAUGCGUUGUUGGGUAGGGGAGCGUUCUGUAAGCCUGUGAAGGUGGCCUGUGAGGGUUGCUGGAGGUAUCAGAAGUGCGAAUGCUGACAUAAGUAACGAUANACGUAUCACCCAAGACAACUUUACGGAGUUGACGAUUGACGGAGCGAAGCGACGUCAAAGCGUUCAUUAAAGUCGAGUUGGCUUAGGGAUACGUUCGUUGGGUAGGGGAGCGUUCUGUAAGCCUGCGAAGGUGGCCUGUGAGGGUUGCUGGAGGUAUCAGAAGUGCGAAUGCUGACAU